rnacentral:rRNA from 1 species
UCCUACGGGAGGCAGCAGUGGGGAAUAUUGGACAAUGGGCGAAAGCCUGAUCCAGCCAUGCCGCGUGUGUGAAGAAGGUCUUCGGAUUGUAAAGCACUUUAAGUUGGGAGGAAGGGUUGUAGAUUAAUACUCUGCAAUUUUGACGUUACCGACAGAAUAAGCACCGGCUAACUCUGUGCCAGCAGCCGCGGUA